UUAUGGACAUAACAUAGGCCUAUGUGGUGUUUCUGAAAAAAAUAAGACAUUAUAAAUUAAUCACAGCAUUCAACAGUGAAAUAUUUCUGAAUAAUAACUCUUGUCCAGGGCAACAUUGUGUGACUGACUGCUUAUACACGGUGCUCUCUCUGUUCUCUACAAGUAUGCUAAUACAAUUAUUUUAUAUUAAUAUUUCACAUCUAUCUAUAUAUAUUUAGCUGGGUAGAUUUGUAGAAAGCGGGCUACAUAGCCUACAAUCAGCUGUUCAUUAACUUAAAAUAAACCCCUUCAGAAUGAUGUCAUGACCACAUUACAACCUUUAUUCAUUUUUAAUAAGUUGUCAAUAUUUCCUUACUUAAUAUUCAAUGUUUAAAAUUCCACAUGUGUACAUUUCAUGUAGGUCUAUCUCAUAGAUUAAUUGUUGGACUAUGUUGUGAAAAACACAUGCACACAUUUACCCAAAGGUCUUCAGUAUGAAACCUCUGGAUUGCUACUGUAAUUCAUCUGUUGGGUGACUGUGUUGAAUUUCUUAAUUUGCAGUUCUGUAAAUUCCACUUCAUGUCUUUCAAGUUCAACAUCUUGUGGGCUGUGGCCAAUUUACUCAUGAUUUGAAAAGGGAGUCAGUUCUUGAACCUGAAUUUUGCCCCAUUGAGUAAAGCAAAUGCUGUUAUGUUUUACAUAGAGAUCCUAUCCUGUACUUUUCUAUACAGAGACAGCAACUGUUUUAGUAGACCAACUUCAGUAAAUUUUGGAUUUUUUUUUAAUUAUUUAAACAACUUAAUCUAGCAUUUCCUAUUGGCUGUUGAUCUGCAGCAGCUGUAACAGGGAUGUUUUCCCGCUCUUAUUCAUAAAAUGACGUACUUCCUGUAUUGUCAAGCAGCUUGUAAUGUUUUGCGGGAACGGUGGACUUGCACAGAUUCAAACAUGACAUUAAUUUUGCAGUAGAUAUCACGUUGCUAUAUUUGUAAUUCCCGAUCUGUUAUUUUGUUGCGAGGGAUAUCAACGGGUCGCUGCUGUUCGUUUGGACUGUCUUCCCUUCCUCAGACCGGUAAACAAACACAGAGAAGACCUCAGAGGCUUGAGAAAUGGCCUCUCACGGCUCCAGGCAUCUUCCAUACCUCUCGGUUUCCACAGACUCUUUAUUGGAUUCUACCUCUGCAUCAUCCAUCUCUAUUCACUUUUUUUGGUCUAAAUAGCCGCCUCCUCCUUUCUCCUCCAGCUGGGUUUGUUGACACACAGUCAAUCCUGGACACUUUCACCCCCCACCCUCAUCUCUUGUACCCGUUCCCCUUCCCCGAGCUGUAAAGCUGCCACAGCUGUUGGCUGUUGAACCAAAGUGGAGGGACACAUUAAAUAUAUUACAGCCAUUAGCUUUGUUGGGACUUGACAGUUUUAAUACAUUGUAGCUUUACACCAGCCAAAGGCAGGACACAGCAGAGCUCUGCUAUGAUUUUAAUUAUUCUUAAAUAUUGCAAUGGAACAAAUUAGGAAAGGUGUAUAUAUGAAAUGGCAACAAGCAAAUAAUAUCAUCAUUUACAAAAAAAGGCAUGUGUAACAGUUUGUUUUAAUUAGAACUGAUUUUAAAGACAUUACAACAGUGUUUACAAGAGAAUGUAAAAUCUGUUAUUUUUUUAUCAUUUUCUGCAAAUAAUUCUGCAUUCUAUUUGAUAUUUAGAAUCUAUCUAUUCUGCCUAAUUUUUCUUUAACUUUGUGAUUAUGCAAGUAACCUUUUUUUUUUUUUCUUUUUUUUUUUAAGAUGGUUAAAAAGUGUCCCAGGUUUAAGACAUUUAAGAUUUUAAUUUGAAAGUGAUGGUGUUGUAAUAUUUGCAUGUUGAAUUGUGACUGCUUAUUUCAAUAAUAAAAAAAAAUUAUUUGUAUAGACA
ensembl:lncRNA